rnacentral:rRNA from 1 species
GACGAACGCUGGCGGCGUGCUUAACACAUGCAAGUCGAACGCUGAAGCUUGGUGCUUGCACUGGGUGGAUGAGUGGCGAACGGGUGAGUAAUACGUGAGUAACCUGCCCUUGACUCUGGGAUAAGCCUGGGAAACUGGGUCUAAUACUGGAUAUGACAUGCCACUGCAUGGUGGUGUGUGGAAAGGGUUUUACUGGUUUUGGAUGGGCUUACGGCCUAUCAGCUUGUUGGUGGGGUAAUGGCCUACCAAGGCGACGACGGGUAGCCGGCCUGAGAGGGUGACCGGCCACACUGGGACUGAGACACGGCCCAGACUCCUACGGGAGGCAGCAGUGGGGAAUAUUGCACAAUGGGCGGAAGCCUGAUGCAGCGACGCCGCGUGAGGGAUGACGGCCUUCGGGUUGUAAACCUCUUUCAGCACGGAAGAAGCGAGAGUGACGGUACGUGCAGAAGAAGCGCCGGCUAACUACGUG